GUCGGUUUGGCCGAGUGGUUUAAGGCGCGGGAUUUGAAAUCCCGUGGGUUCUUCCCGCACAGGUUCGAACCCUGUAGCCGACG